rnacentral:rRNA from 1 species
ACGAACGCUGGCGGCGUGCUUAACACCUGCAAGUCGAACGGAAAGGCCCUGCUUUUGUGGGGUGCUCGAGUGGCGAACGGGUGAGUAACACGUGAGUAACCUGCCCUUGACUUUGGGAUAACUUCAGGAAACUGGGGCUAAUACCGGAUAGGAGCUCCUGCUGCAUGGUGGGGGUUGGAAAGUUUCGGCGGUUGGGGAUGGACUCGCGGCUUAUCAGCUUGUUGGUGGGGUAGUGGCUUACCAAGGCUUUGACGGGUAGCCGGCCUGAGAGGGUGACCGGCCACAUUGGGGCUGAGAUACGGCCCAGACUCCUACGGGAGGCAGCAGUGGGGAAUAUUGCACAAUGGGCGGAAGCCUGAUGCAGCAACGCCGCGUGCGGGAUGACGGCCUUCGGGUUGUAAACCGCUUUCGCCUGUGACGAAGCGUGAGUGACGGUAAUGGGUAAAGAAGCACCGGCUAACUACGUG